rnacentral:rRNA from 1 species
AUUGAACGCUGGCGGCAGGCUUAACACAUGCAAGUCGAGCGGGGGAAGGUAGCUUGCUACCGGACCUAGCGGCGGACGGGUGAGUAAUGCUUAGGAAUCUGCCUAUUAGUGGGGGACAACAUCUCGAAAGGGAUGCUAAUACCGCAUACGUCCUAUGGGAGAAAGCAGGGGAUCUUCGGACCUUGCGCUAAUAGAUGAGCCUAAGUCGGAUUAGCUAGUUGGUGGGGUAAAGGCCUACCAAGGCGACGACCUGUAGCGGGCCUGAGAGGAUGAUCCGCCACACUGGGACUGAGACACGGCCCAGACUCCUACGGGAGGCAGCAGUGGGGAAUAUUGGACAAUGGGGGGAACCCUGAUCCAGCCAUGCCGCGUGUGUGAAGAAGGCCUUAUGGUUGUAAAGCACUUUAAGCGAGGAGGAGGCUACUUUAGUUAAUACCUAGAGAUAGUGGACGUUACUCGCAGAAUAAGCACCGGCUAACUCUGUGCCAGCCGCCGCCGUAA